rnacentral:rRNA from 1 species
CUGAUGCAGCAACGCCGCGUGGAGGAUGACACAUUUCGGUGCGUAAACUCCUUUUAUAUGAGAAGAUAAUGACGGUAUUAUAUGAUAAGCACCGGCUAACUCCGUGCCAGCAGCCGCGGUAAUACGGGGGGUGCAAGCGUUACUCGGAAUCACUGGGCGUAAAGAGCAUGUAGGCGGAUUAAUAAGUUUGAAGUGAAAUCCUAUAGCUUAACUAUAGAACUGCUUUGAAAACUGUUAAUCUAGAAUGUGGGAGAGGUAGAUGGAAUUUCUGGUGUAGGGGUAAAAUCCGUAGAGAUCAGAAGGAAUACCGAUUGCGAAGGCGAUCUACUGGAACAUUAUUGACGCUGAGAUGCGAAAGCGUGGGGAGCAAACAGGAUUAGAUACCCUGGUAGUCCACGCCCUAAACGAUGUACACUAGUUGUUGUGAGACUUGAUCUUGCAGUAAUGCAGUUAACACAUUAAGUGUACCGCCUGGGGAGUACGGUCGCAAGAUUAAAACUCAAAGGAAUAGACGGGGGACCCC